UCGUCAGCUCGUGUCGUGAGAUGUUGGGUUAAGUCCCGCAACGAGCGCAACCCUUGCUAUUAGUUGCUACGCAAGAGCACUCUAAUAGGACUGCCGUUGACAAAACGGAGGAAGGUGGGGACGACGUCAAAUCAUCAUGCCCCUUAUGACCUGGGCUACACACGUACUACAAUGACCAUCAACAGAGGGAAGCAAAACAGCGAUGUGGAGCAAACCCCUAAAAAUGGUCUCAGUUCAGAUUGCAGGCUGCAACCCGCCUGCAUGAAGUCGGAAUUGCUAGUAAUCGCGGAUCAGCAUGCCGCGGUGAAUACGUUCCCGGGCCUUGUACACACCGCCCGUCACACCAUGGGAGCCGGUAAUACCCGAAGUCAGUAGCCCAACCGCAAGGAAGGCGCUGCCGAAGGUAGGAUUGGCGACUGGGGUGAAGUCGUAACAAGGUAGCCGUA
rnacentral:rRNA from 1 species